rfam:Bacillus sporothermodurans strain B4102 NODE_28, whole genome shotgun sequence.
ACGUUCGGGUAAUCGCUGCAACAGUAAAUGUUGUUGAGGAAAGUCCAUGCUCGCACGGUGCUGAGAUGCACGUAGUGAUCGUGCCUAGCGAAGUCAUAAGCUAGGGCAGUCCGGAUAACUCUGGAUUGACGGCAGGGAAAAUUCCUAAGUCCUAAUUGGAUAUGGAGUGACUACCUUUAAAGUGCCACAGUGACGAAGCCUUGUGAGAAAUUACAAGGGUGGAACGAGGUAAACCCCGCGAGCGAGAAACUCAAAUUAUGGUAGGGGCACCCUUUUUGAGGAAGUGAACGAUAAAAGGGACAAGCAAUUAUGCUUGUAGAUAGAUGAUUACCACCAGCGUACGAGAUCUUUACCUGAUCGCUUGUAGUACAACGGUACAGAACAUGGCUUACAGAA